GAGAGAGGCAGGAGGCUUUGUGAGACUGCUGGAGGAAGAUUACGGCUUUCUGCUGGCAUUGUGUGUCACAAGAUCAUGCCACAUGUGGACAGCUGCAGAAGAGGAACAUUGACUCUGUCUCCAUCACAGGGGUCAUCCAGAGCUUCACCAACAGCAUGCAAAAGAUCAGGGAAACUCAUUGGGGUCAAGUAUAUCUACGACCAAACAGGAGAUGUUCUUGAGGACCGCAGAGUGGCAAAUGCAGCAUUGGAGACAGAGGACGUAGCUGUGGCAGAAGAUGAGGACUUUGAAGAGUCUGAGGAUUUUGUGGAUCUCACAGUUCCCAUUUUGGAAACCAUGCUCCAGACUCCUCAACCUGCCUGUUCACAUGACUUCUUGACAUCACCUGCAUCUGAACCCUUCCUAGAGAUAGCAUCUGUAGAAGUUAAACAUGCUCCUGUGGAUGCAAUAAAAGAAAGUGAGUGAUGUUCAUGCCCAAAUAUCACAUAGAUGGGAAAGUCAAGAUGGAUUCUUUUAUUAUGUAAAGUCACAUGACAUAAGUGACUUUAGAACCAGGUUACUGAUUAAUUUUGUUCUAUGAACCUGUGUCUGAAAGUGUGUGUGUGUGUGUGUUUAAUAAAAGGUUUUGAUACUAAUGUUUAGCUGCAUCUCCAUCAAGGCUGCCUGAUUUCCACUCUGAUGACACCUGCUCCAGGGACAUCAAGGAGACAGGUUCUAUUCUGGAGCACGCAUUCCUGGACAGUGGCCGGAUUGUUGAAGCCCUUUUUGUCCAGCUCUGCAUGGCUUACCCAAACCCAAAGACAGUGGAAGGUGUGGCAUUUUCAAGGUGGACCCUCAUCAUUCGUACUUACAAGCACAUUAGAGAGUGCAUCCUGAACAACAUCACAAUCAUGGAGGAGACUACCAUACAGUUGCCAGAAGUCAACAAAACAACCCUCACACCGUGGUGAGUUAAAACUGUGUCAUAAUGAAUAAUGAUGGACUCAAAUUAGCUGACCCAGAGACAAACUGAAUAACUUAAAGAAGAUUUAUUCACAAGCGAGAUACACAAAAAGUACUCCACAGGAGGAUCAGUGGAGUAAUGAUAAUUCACUUGUAGUGCUCACUCCACUGGAGGUACGGUCUGCUCAGGGGGGUGUGAGAGAGAAGGGUGAAGAUUAGAUGGAUCCACAAAUUAAUUGUAAUCUUUAAAGGGGUCAAAGGAUGGUAGCCUACCACAACACCACAUCCUCCAUGCUACAGCACCUGACCAGGAAACAUCCACGUGUAAAUGUCACUUCUGCAAGCCGACUCGGGGGUCCGCUAUAUAUUCUGCGGACGCUGUGCGACUUUCUCGUUUGUAGCACUCAGUUUCAGCUCACACUGUGCGUCUGGUAGCAACACGUCGUAUCUAAAAAUGUGCUAAAAAUAGCAGUUUUUACACAACACGUCGGACUUUUUAUUGCGUUGUUAUUGAUGUCUGUUGCUCCUCGAGAUUGUUGCAGGAGGACACAGUUAUUUAUGAGACUGGCGGAGGAAAACGAAAAAGUAAAUAAAUGUUUAGGGAUGGGUACCGAAUUCUGUACUUUUUAAGGUAACAACCGAAUUCCACAGUACCGAACGAGCACCGAUUCACUUCAUUUGAAACUGUGCCUCGUUUCGGUACCCGUCCUUCAUAACGAGAACUUGCCUAGACAGCUGCGCAUGCGCAAGAGCGUUAUGUCAUCGGUCGCUGCAAGCGAGUUGUAAACAGCAGCAUGGUGAAACCAGCAACAACAAUCUAAGUGAAACAUCCUCAUCUUAAUCUGCUCCGGUAGGUAAAUAAAAUGUUUAAGAUAACGUUAACUUGAUUUGUUAGCUUCCGUUUCACUAAUGGUGCGUUCGCUUUCUCCUCGGAACUCCAAAAUUCCAACUAGAAGAACAUGAGCGCGCUCUAAAGUUUGGCUUCACUUUACUAAAUGCGACGGGUGAUUGGGUGAAGAUGAAACCAGCGACAACGAUUUAAGUGUGAGGCAUCAUCGUUUAAAUCUGCUCCAGCAGUUAAAUAAACUGUUUAAGAUAAUGUUAGCUUGAUAUGUUAGCUUCCAUUGCCACCAUUGUUAUCAUCUAAUGGUGCGUUCGCUUUCUCCUCGGAAAUUCUAACUUCCCAGUAGGAAAAAUCAAUGAAAAAGGACGGCAAAAGGAAUGAAGAUACACAGUAAAUUUAGUUCACAGUAAAGAUGUUUGCUUCAGUUUAAUUAUCAACUUAUAAAACUACAAGGACGAUGUUAAAAUACAAACAGUUGUAUGUUAUUUAUCGUGACAUUUAUCAAAUAUGGUUAUAAAUUAAGAAAAAUAUAUACUAAAUUAUAAAUGAGAAUUAAAAAUAUUAAACACUCAAAAGUAUCGAAAACUGGUACCGUUAAGUACCGGUAUCGAUUCGUAGGUACCGGGAAUUAGUACCGAAUCGAUUCAAAUACCAAAGGUACCCAUCCCUACGCGGCAAACAUGCUUUCUCAACAAUCCUUGUUAUUGUGUGAAAAAAGUGUAGAAAUUAAAACGGACGUGUGUUAAUAGGCAAACAGCUGGCGAGCCGUGUUUGAGCAUGCGCCGUGAACGGUUCUGGUGCUGGCAGAUUCUCUCACGAGGGGAAAAUCGGCUCAGGUUGCAUACUUAUUUUUUGCACAGGCAUUUGUUUACUGUGAAGUAAAGUUGAAGUGCUGAAGUUUUGAAAACUAAUUCUGAAUAAAACUUGAAAAAUAACUGGCAAUUGCUUGCUCAUUUUAAGAGGUCUUUCAUAUUUUAUAACAUGCUAUUUGAUUUAAUGAUUUACAAAAGCAAAAGAGUUGAGUACUCGAUUAAUCGAUAAAAGAUUCGAUAGAGUUCUCGAUUACAAAAAUAUUCGAUAGCUGCAGCCCUAAAUUAAAUAACCACGAAUUUAACAUUCAUCAAAAUGAUGAGCGCCAUUUAAAGGAUUCAGUUUAUGCACAACUUUAGUAGAAAUGAGGUGUACCAUGACAUCUAAAGAGCUGCUGUUGACAGUAUUCUGAAGCUUCAUGUUUUCCAAGAGCGUUAAUAUGUAACCUUUUGUCUUGACCAUUGAAUUAGUCCAUCUGGCCUUUAACUGAACAUUUGCAUUGAAAACCCUUUCAGAUUAGCCAUGCAGCGGUCUUGGCCACACAAAAUAGUAGAAAACCUUUUUCCACUCUAGACUCUAGGCUCUCCUCAGCCGACGUACUUCUGGUAUGUGAUGCAUGCGCAGUUUACACCAGAACCAUGAUUUGAACCAGUUGAACACUACAGAGGUUUGCAUUUCUUCACAUUAAAACCCCCAGCUAUCGAGACGUGUUAAGCAAGCUGGCGCUUCUUAUUAAUUUUCGACCAAGGCACAGCUUCACACCUCCUUUCUGUCUGAUGUAAUAAUAGGACGCCAAGUUCAUAAAAAUAGCAUCACAUAUUUAAAUAUAAUUAGGCACAGAUGAAUCAAAUAAUCUAUAAUCAAUAAGCCAUCAAUUUUGAACUGAGAAGACCAACUAUAAUUAACAUGAAGCCGUUUUGAACUGUACCAUCUGAUGAAAUGCUUAUCCUGCUCAGUGUGCUAUUUAAAUUCUAGCUUGUCAAGGGAAAGAGCCUUUGAUCAACCGUUCAAGGAGGAAAAGACAGGAAAAGAAAAGCUUUUGCAAAACAUCAUUACAUAUUCAACAUUUCCUGAGCAUUUAAUGUGAUAAUCUUUUAUUUCUUAACUAAACUGAUGUUUUCUAGCAGGGGACUUCAGAUUAAAUAACAAACACAAGUUAAACCUGUUCCUAACUCAAUCUACCUGCUGCUGGAGUUUAUUACAUGUCCACCUGAGGGAGCUAGAGCUGCAUCAGUGCAUUUAGUGUGUACGAAAUAUUAGAGAUUGUGAUGACCUUGUUAUUUACCUGCUAAGAGACUGUAGUUAAAACCUCAUGGCGAUUUCUGGCGUGACGCUGUGACCUUACGUUUGACUGUAACUUCCACAAACAGCCUCCGAUUUGCCCGAGACUGAACAUCACAUCACCAGUGUGGUAAAGAUAGAGUAUCUCCUAGUGGUGAGACGUGGAAUGGUGGGCUCAGAGGGGAUGCUGAGUCAGGGUGAGGUGUGGACGAGGAGGCCGUUCACGGUUUCUGGUGUCGGGGUGGUUGACUUUCUGUUCUUCCAGACGUGCCCUGGUGCCCCCGGCUGCCGGCCAGGAUGGAGAAGCGCGGAGCUGGGUUUGGAGAGUGUCGGGGAUGGAGCGGAGGGGGUGCGGAAGGAGGGCGAGCAGCUUCGCUGCGAGGGCCGAACGACGCUGCUUGCAGCUUUAAUUAGGCCCGAGCAGCGAAGCGCUGCGAAGGCCUAUUGUAUCUGCUCCGUUUAUUAUUAUUAGGCCCGAGCAGCGAAGCGCUGCGAAGGCCUAUUGUAUCUGCUCCGUUUAUUAGGCCCGAGCAGUGAAGCUGCGAAGGCCUAUUGUAUCUGCUCCGUUUCUUCUUAUUAUUAUUCUUUUUUCUUCCGCGUCUUUGAAUGGCCUUUAGGGGGUCUUAGCAUAUCCAAAAAGUCACCAAAUUCUGGCCCAAUAUAGAAAGUGCGUGAAAUUUACGUAUUUCACUGGCGAUGUGAAAGUUCGUCAAAAAGUGACUGAACAGCGCCCCCUAGAAAGUGAAAAAUACCCCUCUCCAUAAAGCUUAGUUUAUCGUACAGUUAUGAAAUUUGGUAUACUUGUAGUACUCAACAGUCCGCACAGAAAAGUCUCUUGCAACCAUGGUCAAUAUCAAACAGGAAGUCGGCCAUUUUGGAGUAAAGUGGCCAUUUUGACCCCGUUUUGGCCAUUUCUAGGGUCUAUAUUUGGUUGAACAGUUUGGUCAUUUUUCGCACCAUCGUCUCAAAAAUUGUGCGAGAUCGAACAGAAUCGAUGGACGAUUCAAAUGAGACAAUAAAAUUGACUUUUCGUAAAUACUGAAGGGGCGGGGCCAGGCCUCAAAGUUCGAACACUCGCCAAAAAAAUUCAAAUUGCUAUAAUUUCAUAAAUGAAAGAAUUACGGUUAAAGAAAUGUUCUGUGGACAAUUGUCAUCGCCCUCCGAAGACAAAUGAAUGGUCGAUUGAUGAUGUCACAUAAGCCCCGCCCCCUCAGGACUUAAAAGGUCAAGUUUUACUGGGAAAUUUUCCAAAAUUCGCCCUUUCCAAUAAUCACCCCAAAUUUGUAGCGGGUAACUGAAGACAAGUUGGGGUUGCUUGGCUUCACUUUAUGGGAGUUUUCUGCAGAAGGCGGGGCUGUGGCGGCGCGGCGAAUUCAGGCGUACCACUUAGGCCUUACGUUUGCCUCCCAUUUCGUCAUUUCUAGAGAUAUCGCCACGAAGCUUCUUGUGAGUGAUCCUAGUCUGGCCCCCCAAAAGAUCUGAUGUGAAAUUCCGGUGGGCGUGGUCUAUUUUCUGAAAUAGCGCCCCCUAGGACCAUUAAAACUGACAGCCCCAAGCCAUGCUUUGACUGAGGAUUACGAAAUUUGGUACACUAAUGUGGUGUCUCAGGACCUACAAAAAAGUCUCUUGGAGCCAAGUGCAUUGUCGCACAGGAAGUCGGCCAUUUUGGUCCAAGUGCGCAAUUUAGUGGUUUUCGCACACGUUGUUUGGAGAGUGAUGCUCCGUCGCCCUUUUCACCAAUUGCCUUCACACUUCGGCUACAUACUCUUAACACAUAGAUGAAAAAAUUCAACCGUCGGAUUUUAAAUAAGUAUAAAGGUGUGGGCGUGGCUAAGCCUCAAACUUUGACCUGUCGCCACGCCACUCUUUUUUUUCACAGCUCCCUAUUGGACUCCUUUUAACCAAUCACCACCAAACAGUGGCGAAUAGCAGCAGACAAGUUGAGGUCACUUGGUCUAUAGUACUGGCAGGUUUCGAAUAAAGGCGGGGCUUUGGAAGAAUGGCGAAAUUCGCCAUCACGACAUGGAAAUACGUUUGUCUCUCAUUUCUUCAGUCAUUGUGACAUCGCCAUACAAGUUCUGAUGAGUGAUCCUACUCUGACCCCUAAUAGAAUUGGACAGCUGAAGUUUGUGGGCGUGGCCUAUUUUCUGAAACAGCGCCCCCUAGGACCAUUAAAACAGUCAGCCCCAAGCCAUGCUUUGACUGAGGAUCACAAAAUUUGGCACACUAAUGUAGUGUACCAGGACCUACAAAAAAGUCUCUUGGAGCCAAGCACAAUGUCGCACAGGAGGUCGGCCAUUUUGGUCCAAGUACUCAAUUUAGUGGUUUUCGCACACGUUAUUAGGAGAAUGAUAUCUCCUCGCCCUUUCCACCGAUCACCUUCAAACCUCUGCUAUAUACUCUUAAGACAUAGAGGAAAAAAUUCAACCGUCGGAUUUUAAAUAAGUAUAAAGGUGUGGGCGUGGCUAAGCCUCAAACUUUGACCAGUCGCCAUUACCUUAUUUGACUUAACAACUCCCAUGUGCAUGAUCAGAUCAAUUUCAUACUUUGUCUGUGUGAUCACUGACCACAUCUGAAGACAGUGACAAUGUGGACAGCUGACAUCACCUAAGCCCCGCCCCCUGACUACAGGAAGUCAACUGUUUUAUGGUGAAAUGCCCAUAUUUGUUCCCUCUAAUUUAGUCAAGAUGACACUAAGGUCAUGCACUGUCUUCAUGAUGUUGUAAUGACCAUUCAGAUCUGAUAGCUUUUCAGAAAGGCAGGGGCUUUGAUGCCAUGGCGAUUUCUGACGUGACACUGUGACCUUACGUUUGACUGUAACUUCCACAAACAGCCUCCGACUUGCCCGAGACUGAACAUCGCAUCACCAGUGUGGUAAAGAUAGAGUAUCUCCUAGUGGUGAGACGUGUAAUGGUGGGCUCAGAGGGGAUGCUGAGUCAGGGUAAGGUGUGGACGAGGAGGCCGUUCACGGUUUCUGGUGUCGGGGUGGUUGACUUUCUGUUCCGCCAGACGUUCCCUGGUGCCCCCGGCUGCCGGCCAGGACGGAGAAGCGCGGAGCUGGGUUUGGAGAGCGUCGGGGAUGGAGCGGAGGGGGUGCGGAAGGAGGGCGAGCAGCUUCGCUGCGAGGGCCGAACGACGCUGCUUGCAGCUUUAAUUUUUCUUUUUUUUUCUUUUUUUUUCUUCCGCGUCUUUGGGUGGCCUUUAGGGGGUCUUAGCAUAUCCAAAAAGUCACCAAAUUCUGGCCCAAUAUAGAAAGUGCGUGAAAUUUACGUAUUUCACUGUCAACAUGAAAGUUGGUAUAAAAAUGUUUCAACAGCGCCCCCUGGAAAAUUAAAAAUACCCCUCCGCAUUGACCUUUUUUCAUAGUAGAGUGAUGAAAUUUGGUACACCUGUAGAACUCAACAAUACGCACAGAAAAGCCUCUUGCACCCAUGGUCAAUAUCAAACAGGAAGUCGGCCAUUUUGGACUAAAGUGGCCAUUUUUACCCCGUUUUGGCCAUUUCUAGGCUCUAUAUUUGGUUGAACAGUUUGGUCAUUUUUCGCACGAUUGUCUCAAAAAUAGUGUGCGAUCGAACAGAAGCGAUGGACGAUUAAAAUGAGAAAAUAAAACUGACUUUUCGUAAAUACUGAAGGGGCGGGACCAGGCCUCAAAGUUCGAGCACUCGCCAAAAAAAUUCAAAUAUCUUUAAUUUCAUAAAUAAAAGAAUUACAUUUAAAGUAAUUUUCUAUGGACAAUCGUCAUCGCCCCCCGAAGACAAAUGAAUGGUUGAUUGAUUAUGUCACAUAAGCCCCGCCCCCUCAGGCCUUAAAAGGUCAAGUUUUACUGGGAAAUUGUCCAAAAUUCGCCCUUUCAACUAAUCACCCCAUAUUUGUAGCAGGUAACUGUAGACAAGUUGGGAUUGCUUGGCGUCACUUUAUGGGAGUUUUCUCCAGAAGGCGGGGCUGUGGCGGCGCGGCGAAGUCAGGCGUACCGACGUGGCCUUACGUUUGCCUCCCAUUUCGUCAUUUCUAAAGAUAUCGCCACAAAACCUCUUGUGAGUGAUCCUAGUCCAGCCCCCCAAAAAAUUUGAUGUGAACAUCCGGUGGGCGUGGCCUAUUUUAUGAAAUAGCGCCCCCUAGGACCAUUAAAACUGUCAGCCCCAAGCCAUGCUUUGACUGAGGAUUUCGAAAUUUGGUACACUAAUGUGGUGUCUCAGGACCUACAAAAAAGUCUCUUGGAGCCAAGUGCAAAGUUGCACAGGAAGUCAGCCAUUUUGGUCCAAGUACGUGAUUUACUGGUUUUCGCACACGUUGUUUGGAGAGUGAUGCUCCAUCGCCCUUUUCACCAAUCGCCUUCAAACAUCUGCUAUAAACUCUUAAGACAUAAAGUAAAAAAUUCAACCGUCGGAUUUUAAAUAAGUAUAAAGGUGUGGGCGUGGCUAAGCCUCAAACUUUGACCUGUCGCCACGCCACUCUUUUUUUCACAGCUCCCUAUUGGACUCCUUUUACGCAAUCACCAGCAAUCUCUGGCAAAUAAAAGCUGACAAGUUGAGGUCACUUGGUCUACAGUACUGGCAGGUUUUGAAAAAAGGCGGGGCUUUGGGAGCAUGGCGAAAUUCGCCAUCACGCCAUGGCAAUACGUUUGCCUCUCAUUUCUUCAAAUAUCGUGACAUCGCCACAAAAUGUCUGGUGAGUGAUCCUAGUCUGACCCCCAAUAGAAUUGGGCAGCUGAGAUUUGUGGGCGUGGCCUAUAUUCUGAAAUAUCGCCCCCUAGGACCUUUAAAACUGUCAGCCCCAAGACAAGGUUUGACUGAGGAUUACGAAAAUUGGUACACUCAUGUAGGGUCUCUGGACCUACAAAAAAGUCUCUUGGAGCCAAGCGAAAUUUCGCACAGGAGGUCGGCCAUUUUGGUCCAAGUACUCGAUUUAGUGGUUUUCGCACACGUUGUUUGGACAUUGAUGGCCCGUCGCCCUUUACACAGAUCACCUUCAAACUUAUGCUAUGUACUUUUAAGUCAAAGGGGAAAAAAUUCAACCGUCGGAUUUUAAAUAAGUAUAAAGGUGUGGGCGUGGCUAAGCCUCAAACUUUGACCUUUCGCCAUGACAUUACUUGACUUAAUAACUCCCAUAUGCAUGAUCAGAUCUAAUUCAAACUUUGUCUGUGUGAUCACUGACCACAUCUCAAGACAACGACAAUGUGGACAGCUGACAUCACCUAAGCCCCGCCCCCUGACAACAGGAAGUCUAUUGUUUUAUGGUGAAAUGGCCAUAUUUGUCCCCUCUAAUUUAGUGAAAAUGACACUCAGGUCAUACAUUGUCUUCAUGAUGUUUUAAUGACCAUUCAGAUCUGAUAGCUUUCCAGAAAGGGAGGGGCUUUGAUGCCAUGGUGAAUGCUGGCGUGACGCCAUGACCUUACAUUUGACUGUAACUUCCACAAACGGCCUCCGAUUUGCCCGAAACUGAAUAUGGCAAUGAACAAUCAUGCCCUUUAGCCAAUGAGGCACAAACGGUUGGUGAAUGUUAUAUAAUGUCACCAAAGCUGACCUCAAUGGGACUUUUCUGUAGUUGGUCACAGCGCCACCUAGAUAACGUUAUCCUUCGAUAACUUUAAAAAACAUGGUCAGAAUAGCAUUAAAGUUGGUCACUGUCAUCACACCACCAGUGUGGUAAAGAUAGAGGAUUCCCUAGUGGUGAGACAUAAAAUGUAAUGGUGAGCUCAAAGGGGAUGCUGAGUCAGGGUGAGGUGCGGACAAGGUGGACGUUAGCCGUUUCUGGUGUUGGGGUGGUCGACGUUUGUGUUCUGCGGACGUGCCCUGGUGCCCAGGGCUGCCGGCCAGGCCGGAGCGGCGCGGAGCUGCGAGGGCCGAACGACGCUGCUUGCAGCUUUAAUUAUUUAUUAUUUUUCUUUUUUUUUUCUUCCGCGUCUUUGGGUGGCCUUUAGGGGGUCUUAGCAUAUCCAAAAAGUCACCAAAUUCUGGCCCAAUACAGAAAGUGCGUGAAAUUUACGUAUUUCGCUGGCAAUGUGAAAGUUGGUAAAAAAAUGUUUCGACAGCGCCCCCUGGAAAAUUAAAAAUACCCCUCCGCUUUGACCUUUUUUCAUAGUAGAGUGAUGAAAUUUGGUACACUUGUAGAACUCAACAAUACGCACAGAAAAGCCUCUUGCACCCAUGGUCAAUAUCAAACAGGAAGUCGGCCAUUUUGGACUAAAGUGGCCAUUUUGACCCCGUUUUGGCCAUUUCUAGGGUCUAUAUUUGGUUGAACAGUUUGGUCAUUUUUUGCACUAUCGUCUCAAAAAUAGUGUACGAUCAAACAGAAGCGAUGGACGAUUAAAAUGAGAAAAUAAAAUUGACUUUUCGUGAAUACUGAAGGGGCGGGGCCAGGCCUCAAAGUUCGAGCACUCGCCAAAAAAAUUCAAAUUGCUAUAAUUUCAUAAAUGAAAGGACUACAGUUAAAGUAACUUUCUAUGGACAAUUGUCAUCGCCCCCCAAAGACAAAUGAAUGGUCGAUUGAUGAUGUCACAUAAGCCCCGCCCCCUCAGGACUUAAAAGGUCAAGUUUUACUGGGAAAUUUUCCUAAAUUCGUCCUUUCAAAUAAUCAUCCCAGAUUUGUAGCAGGUAACUGAAGACAAGUUGGGGUUGCUUGGCGUCACUUUAUGGGAGUUUUCUGCAGAAGGCGGGGCUGUGGCGGUGCGGCGAAGUCAGGCGUACCGCUUAGGCCUUACGUUUGCCUCCCAUUUCGUCAUUUCUAGAGAUAUCGCCACGACACUUCUUGGGAGUGAUCCUAGUCCGGCCCCCAAAAGAAUCUGAUGUGAACAUCCGGUGGGCGUGGCCUAUUUUCUCAAAUAGCGCCCCCUAGGACCAUUAAAACUGUCUGCCCCAAGCCCUGCUUUGACUGAGGAUUACGAAAUUUUACACACUUAUGUGGUGUCUCAGGACCUACAAAAAAGUCUCUUGGAGCUAAUUGCAAAGUCGCACAGGAAGUCGGCCAUUUUGGUCCAAGUACUCGAUUUAGUGGUUUUUGCACACGUUGUUUGGAGAGUGAUGCUCCGUCGCCCUUUUCACCAAUCGCCUUCAAAAUUCUGCUAUGUACUCUUAAGACAAAGGGGAAAAAAUUCAACUGUCGGAUUUUAAAUAAGUAUAAAGGUUUGGGCGUGGCUAAGCCUCAAACUUUGACCUGUCGCCACGCCACUCUUUUUUUUCACAGCUCCCUAUUGGACUCCUUUUAACCAAUCACCAGAAAUCACUGGCAAAUAGCAGCAGACAAGUUGAGGUCACUUGGUCUAUAGUACUGGCAGGUUUUGAAUAAAGGCGGGGCUUUGGGAGCAUGGCGAAAUUCGCCAUCACUCCAUGGAAAUACGAUUGUCUCUCAUUUCUUCAAUCAUUGUGACAUCGCCACACAAUUUCUGAUGAGUGAUCUUACUCUGACCCCUAAUAGAAUUGGACAGCUGAAGUUUGUGGGCGUGGCCUAUUUUCUGAAAUAGCGCCCCCUAGGACCAUUAAAACUGUCAGCCCCAAGCCAUGCUUUGACUGAGGAUCACGAAAUUUGGCACAUUAAUGUAGUGUCUCAGGACCUACAAAAAAGUCUCUUGGAGCCAAGCGCAAUGUCGCACAGGAGGUCGGCC